AGCGCAGGCGGGUUGGCAAGUCCUUGGUGAAAUCCUGAGGCUUAACCUCAGGACUGCCAAUGAUACUGCCGAUCUUGAGUGCAGAAGAGGAAGACGGAAUUCCUGGUGUAGCGGUGAAAUGCGUAGAUAUCAGGAAGAACACCGGUGGCGAAGGCGGUCUUCUGGUCUGUAACUGACGCUCAUGCUCGAAAGCGUGGGGAGCAAACAGGAUUAGAUACCCUGGUAGUCCACGCCCUAAACGAUGGAUACUCAAUGUCGGGUCGCAAGGCCCGGUGUCCAAGCUAACGCGUUAAGUAUCCCACCUGGGGAGUACGAUCGCAAGGUUGAA
rnacentral:rRNA from 1 species